UGGGAAUAUUGCGCAAUGGGCGGAAGCCUGACGCAGCAACGCCGCGUGCGGGAUGACGGCCUUCGGGUUGUAAACCGCUUUCAGCAGGGACGAAGCGUGAGUGACGGUACCUGCAGAAGAAGCACCGGCCAACUACGUGCCAGCAGCCGCGGUGAUACGUAGGGUGCGAGCGUUGUCCGGAAUUAUUGGGCGUAAAGAGCUCGUAGGUGGUUGAUCGCGUCGAAAGUGAAAUCUCAGGGCUUAACCCUGAGCGUGCUUUCGAUACGGGUCGACUAGAGGAAGGUAGGGGAGAAUGGAAUUCCUGGUGGAGCGGUGGAAUGCGCAGAUAUCAGGAGGAGCACCAGUGGCGAAAGGCGGUUCUCUGGACCUUUCCUGACGCUGAGGAGCGAAAGCGUGGGGAGCAAACAGGCUUAGAUACCCUGGUAGUCCACGCCGU
rnacentral:rRNA from 1 species